CAAAAUGCGAUACUUGGUGUGAAUUGCAGAAUCCCGUGAACCAUCGAGUUUUUGAACGCAAGUUGCGCCCGAAGCCAUUCGGCUGAGGGCACGUCUGCCUGGGCGUCACGC
rnacentral:rRNA from 10 species